CCCCCAGUAGCUCAGUGGAAGAGCAUCGGCUUUCUAAUCCGUUGGUCGCACGUUCGAAUCGUGCCUGGGGGACCU
rnacentral:tRNA from 1 species